UACGUAGGGGGCAAGCGUUGUCCGGAUUUAUUGGGCGUAAAGAGCUCGUAGGCGGACUGUCACGUCUGCUGUGAAAAGCUGGGGCUUAACCCUGGCCUUGCAGUGGAUACGGGCAGACUAGAGGUAGGUAGGGGAGAAUGGAAUUCCCGGUGUAGCGGUGAAAUGCGCAGAUAUCGGGAGGAACACCGGUGGCGAAGGCGGUUCUCUAGUACGGUACUGACGCUGAGACGCGAAAGCGUGGGGAGCGAACAGG
rnacentral:rRNA from 1 species